AGUGAACGCUGGCGGUAGGCCUAACACAUGCAAGUCGAACGGCAGCACAGUAAGAUCUUGCUCUUACGGGUGGCGAGUGGCGGACGGGUGAGGAAUACAUCGGAAUCUACUUUUUCGUGGGGGAUAACGUAGGGAAACUUACGCUAAUACCGCAUACGACCUACGGGUGAAAGCAGGGGAUCUUCGGACCUUGCGCGAUUGAAUGAGCCGAUGUCGGAUUAGCUAGUUGGCGGGGUAAAGGCCCACCAAGGCGACGAUCCGUAGCUGGUCUGGGAGGAUGAUCAGCCACACUGGAACUGAGACACGGUCCAGACUCCUACGGGAGGCAGCAGUGGGGAAUAUUGGACAAUGGGCGCAAGCCUGAUCCAGCCAUACCGCGUGGGUGAAGAAGGCCUUCGGGUUGUAAAGCCCUUUUGUUGGGAAAGAAAAGCAGCAGGUUAAUACCCCGCUGUUCUGACGGUACCCAAAGAAUAAGCACCGGCUAACUUCGUG
rnacentral:rRNA from 1 species